rnacentral:rRNA from 1 species
CUACGGGUGGCUCCAGUGGGGAAUAUUGCACAAUGGACGAAAGUCUGAUGCAGCAACGCCGCGUGGAGGAUGACACAUUUCGGUGCGUAAACUCCUUUUAUAUAGGAAGAUAAUGACGGUACUAUAUGAAUAAGCACCGGCUAACUCCGUGCCAGCAGCCGCGGUAAUACGGAGGGUGCAAGCGUUACUCGGAAUUACUGGGCGUAAAGAGCGUGUAGGCGGGUUUGUAAGUUGGAUGUGAAAUCCUAUGGCUCAACCAUAGAACUGCAUCCAAAACUGCUUACCUAGAAUAUGGGAGAGGUAGAUGGAAUUUCUGGUGUAGGGGUAAAAUCCGUAGAGAUCAGAAGGAAUACCGAUUGCGAAGGCGAUCUACUGGAACAUUAUUGACGCUGAGACGCGAAAGCGUGGGGAGCAAACAGGAUUAGAUACCCCUGUAGUC